rnacentral:rRNA from 1 species
UACAGAGGUCCCAAGCGUUUGUUCGGAUUCAUUGGGCGUAAAGGGUGCGUAGGUGGCGGGGUUAGUCAGGUGUGAAAUCUCGGAGCUCAACUCCGAAACUGCACUUGAUACUGCCUUGCUUGAGUACUGGAGAGGAGAUUGGAAUUUACGGUGUAGCAGUGAAAUGCGUAGAUAUCGAGAGGAACACCUGCGGCGAAGGCGGGUUGCUGGGCUGACACUGACGCUGAGGCGCGAAAGCCAGGGGAGCGAACGGG